UUGUAAAAAUCAAAGGUGUAACCUGCCCAAUGAUCUUAAACUUAAAAAAUAUGACCAUUUUUAAAUAGAUUUAAAGGACGCAGUAUCCUGACUGUGAUAAUGUAGCAUAAUCAUUCGCCAUUUAAUUGAUGGAUAGUAUGAAUGGUUGAACGAAUUCUUCACUGUCUUAAGAAAAGAAAUAAUGAAAUUUAAAUAAUAGUAAAGAUGCUAUUUAAAAUUGUAAGACGAAAAGACCCUAUAGAGCUUAACUAUAAGUUCUUUUUACCCUAAAGAAUAUAAUUCUAUAAAUAAAGAACUUGGUAGUUUAGUUGGGGCGACUAUCUUCUAAUAUUAACGAAGACAAGCAAAAUUAAUAUAUAUAAUUUAUUGUAUAACCUAUAAGUUUAACAAUUACUAAAGUAGGCAUAAUGACCCGUUUUCAUUUAGUAAUUAAAGAAAACGAUCAAUAAAUAAAAGCUACCUUAGGGAUAACAGGAUAAUUUUGUUUUAGAGAUCACAUCGAAAACAAAGUUUGUCACCUCUAUGUUGAAUUAAGAUAUCCUAGUAAUGCAGAAGUUACUAAAGGUAGGUCUGUUCGACCUUUAAAA
rnacentral:rRNA from 1 species